rnacentral:rRNA from 1 species
UUUUCGCAGCCCUUAGUUCCAUCUUAUUCUUUUUUUGCUGAGGCACACUAUAGGGACCGCCCCUGAUAUACUGAAGGAAAGAGUGUACAACAGUAUGUCCGUAUGCCCCGAAUCUCCUGGGCUACACGCGGGCUAUAAUGGGUGGGACAAUGGGUUCCCACACCCAAAGGCGGAGGUAAUCCUUUAAACCUAUACUUAUAUCUGAUUGAGGGCUGUGACUCUCCCUCUUGAGACUGGAAUGCGCAUAAAUCGCGUGUCUCACUCGCGCGGGGAAUACAUCCCUGCUCCUUGUGCACACCGAGAUCCUCAGUUCCCGAGAUUAUGCUCCGUUUUAGGGGACGUUUAUCACGUGUUAAUGAGCAGGGGGGGGGGGCCCCGGGGGCCUGGGGGGGGUCAACCCCGGGCCCUUUUUUG